rnacentral:rRNA from 1 species
UACGUAGGAGACGAGCGUUGUCCGGAAUUACUGGGCGUAAAGCGCGCGUAGGCGGACGCUCAAGUCUGGCCUGAAAGCCCCCGGCUCAACCGGGGAGUGGGGCUGGAAACUGGGUUUCUUGAGGGCGAUAGAGGAGUGUGGAAUUCCUGGUGUAGCGGUGAAAUGCGUAGAGAUCAGGAGGAACACCCGUGGCGAAGGCGGCGACCUGGGUAGAUACUGACGCUGAGGCGCGAAAGCGUGGGGAGCAAACAGG